rnacentral:rRNA from 1 species
GACGAACGCUGGCGGCGUGCCUAAUACAUGCAAGUCGAACGCGUCUACGUUAAUGAAAUCAAUGUGCUUGCACGGCGAUGGAUUUAACAUUAGACGAGUGGCGAACUGGUGAGUAACACGUGGGUAACCUGCCCUCAAGCAGGGGAUAACACUUGGAAACAGGUGCUAAUACCGUAUAACAACAAAAACCGCAUGGUUUUUGUUUGAAAGAUGGUUUCGGCUAUCACUUGAGGAUGGACCCGCGGCGUAUUAGCUAGUUGGUGAGGUAAUGGCUCACCAAGGCAAUGAUACGUAGCCGACCUGAGAGGGUAAUCGGCCACAUUGGGACUGAGACACGGCCCAAACUCCUACGGGAGGCAGCAGUAGGGAAUCUUGCGCAAUGGGCGGAAGCCUGACGCAGCAACGCCGCGUGCGGGAAGAAGGCCUUCGGGUUGUAAACCGCUUUCAGGAGGGACGAAGCUACCAGGGUUAAUAGCCCACGGGGUGACGGUACCCCCAGAAGAAGCCCCGGCUAACUACGUGCCAGCAGCCGCGGUAAAAC